GUUCUUAUAGCUUAAGCUCGAUAAAGCGUAAUAUUGAAAAUAUUAAGAUAUUUAUAUGAUUCAGAACA
rnacentral:tRNA from 1 species